rnacentral:lncRNA from 1 species
GGGGCUGGAGAGCGCCCAAGAUGGCGGCGGGGGGAGUGUGACACGCCCGCCUCAGCCUGGGGGCCGCGGGCUCUCACAGCCUUCCGCGCACCUGCCGCGGCCCUGCGGCUUCGUGCUCUUAGCCCCUUCCCUCCCUUCCCCCCGCCCUUCCGAUAGUAAUAUUAUCGCCUGUACUGCAAACCUACUGCUGUUGGGCAAAUAUGUUAUUACGGAGGUUUUCUUACCUUGUCGUUGCUUCGUACUUCUUAAUGGCAGCAAAAUGUUAAAAACGUGGUGUAACUUUUGGCGAAUAGCUGGAGGAAACGUGCUGUGAACCUGGAAGUUACUGGUCCGUUCCCUUCACCUGAGGAAAUUCAGGUGUUUUGUUUAUAGGGAAGUGAGGCAGACUGGAUAACAGAGCCUGUCCCACAGGCCUCAGCUUGGGCUGUUUGUUGGGUGCUUCCCUCUCGUCAGGAGCUGAGGUUCGGUGAUGCUGUUGAUACAAUGCACUAAAACAAGCCAGUACGCUGUAUGUUAAUGGAAGAGCUGUCAUUAAUUGUUGUUAGAUGUUUGUACUCUAUUUGGCUCUCGGGUUCAUGGCAAGAUGUGGCUGAUGCUAUAAUCCUCUGAGCAUCCUGAUGUGUACCUGAAUCCCACUGCAUGGAUGGCUUUGUUAGGAUAAAUCACAUGCUGUGGGCCACUUCAAAAGAUGAAAUAUUGCAGUGCAGCAACUUUAAAGACUUGGUAUUUUCAAGUUUAGUUAUGUAAUUAAUAAAUGGGAGGCCUUUGUAAAAGAGGAGGGAAUCAAGUUUGUGCAAUGUGUUUUACUAAUGUUGAUAGUUCAUCUCAUCUUUUUCAGAGAUGUUUCAUGUUGAACUUUUGUCACCUCUCUGUCAAGAAGAGUGCAUUUUAGUCAAGAAUACCAAGUAAAUCUAUCAAGGAAAAUGGGUUUUGCCCCUUCUCUAGUGACCAAGAUAAAUCAACUUCAUACCAGUACCUUAAUCUGAUUUUUAUUUUAAUUUGGACUAGAAUACCAGCUAUAAUUUAAUUUUGUAGCUAGCUUUUCUAUUCUAGAUUACUGAAAAAUGACAAGAAGCUUGGCAGGAGUAGAAAGACCCAAUUGCAACAGAUUGGAUCCUUUACUGUUAAUAGUUUGUUUUACACCAUGCUUUACUCCUUUGGGACAUUGGCAGCAGUUGGCAGACAUAAUACAGUUUGUGUGUAUGUAGGGUUUGAUAUUAGGGGUGUGGUAUUUUAAAAUGAAUGAAUAUGCUGAUUCUGGGAGUGAGUUGUUAGUUGGUGUAUAUUUAGGUGAGUCACACUGACAGGGCUUGACAAGGCUUCAUGAUUCAAUCUCCUUAGGAAAGUAGCAUAAUAGUUCUUUCAGGUACAUUGCACCCAGCUGGUACAGGGAGAAUUUCUGUUUGAAUCUUGCUUCUCAAGAAAUGUCAGAACUGCUUUAGGCACCUGUCUACAGCCAAAAUAUUUUUAGUGGAUAGUUUGUGCUUACUGUAGACAUUUGGCUUUUUUAACCAAAAUGUUAGUAGGACUUUAAAGGAAAAAAGUUAAUGCUUUUAAUGAAAGCAUUUGCAUGCAGUUACAUAAUUGAACUUAAACAUGCUCAAAUUUUUUCCUGCUUUUGACUACCAGCUGAAUUAUUUUACCAUCCUAAGGGAAGCCCAGCUAUCUUCUGCCGACAUUCUGGAAAACCUGUUACUAAGGGAACGUUUUAUUUUUUUAAACUUUCCUUAGGGAAAGCAGAAGCUUCUUCUGACUAAAAAGCUGGUGGAAAUGAGCCAAGACUUGGAAAUCAGCAGGUUUCUUGGGGGAGGUUAGGAUUUCUCCUGGAAAACAGACUGUACUGGUCUAUGCUAGCAUAAUUACUGUUUAAGAGUCUAAAAUACAAGAAUAUAACAGCAAAGUUAAGUUCAAGCAGUUUAAAAUACAGUGUUAAUGUGAACUGAGUUAUACAACUAGCACAAUUUUGCCUACAUAUGUUUCUAGGGCCAAAAAUAAUUAUCUGUGCUGAUUUCUUAGGUGUUCAUGAGUUGAAUGUUAAAUAAUUUUUAGAGUUUGUUUUUCUGCCUUCCUCUCCCUCAUCCCUGAAGUAGUUUUUUUUUUCAGAGGUGCACUGGACAGUCACAGCAUUACUCAGUGUUAAACUCAUACAUUUAUGCUACACGUCUGUUUGCUUGAUAGAGUCCUCACUUCUUUGCCACUCACGAAGCACCUCCAGCUCUAAGCCAGGAGGAAGAUCUGAACCUGUUAAGCAGCCCCUAAAGAAACCAAAGUUACCAGUAGGGCGGUUUGAUGAACCAGAAGAGUCCAGUAUGGAGAAGGAACCCCUGGAAAAAUUCCCUGAUGGAAUCAAUCCUACUACAAAAGAGAGGGGUGGACCCAGAGGCCCUGAACCUACACGUUUUGGAGACUGGGAAAGAAAAGGACGUUGUAUAGAUUUCUAAUAUUUAAAUAACUGUAUUGCUAAUAAAAUAUUUCUAGUUGCUGAAAAAUAUAAUGUACAGAAAAAAAUCUCACCUGGAGCUUAUUGUUUCUGUCAUGCCACAACAUUCUCUCAUGUGAUGAAUUUUCUUAAUAAGGCAAUGUAAUUAAACACAGUGCUUCAGCUCAGAUUAUGGAGCUGUUAGUGGCUCAAUGUCUGCCUGAUCUUUAAUACUAUUUACACUGUGCAAGUAUAAGUGCAAGUCUAGUGGUGUGAAAUUGGUAGUCAGGUGCUUAUUGAGAUGCAUAAGGGCUUGUAUUUGUUCAUGAAUGUAAAGAUUUAUGUGGUGUUGUAAAAGUGUUGAAAGAACUUUUCAUUUCAUGAACCUGGAGACCAUUCAUCAAAGGUAGAACCAACUCUGAGGAGAUCAGUAGGUCACUGAUUUCACACAGUGGUUCCAUGGUAAAAGCCCUUUUACUGAAGAACCCUCCAUCUGUCCCUAUUGCAGUGGGUUGGGUGUUUUUUCCUGGUUGUAGGGAAGGGAUAGUGUUUUCUCUGAGGACUGUAAGUACUACAAUGGAAAUGGAAACUUUAAUUUUGGAGAGGGUCAGCUCUUGAUUGCAAGUAGUUUAGAGGUGCUCUGUUUGCGAUUCUAGAACACUGUCCUUUAUCAUCUGUCUUCUUCAUGCUACUUGCAUUAUCUUUUCUUUUGUGGAGGUGCCCUUUUGCACAUGGGCUAAAUGCUGCUUGGGAAAAAUACAGCCUUACUAUCUGAAACCUUAUGGUCAAAGGGGACAAAUUCCGUUAGGUGAUUUAAUAUUGCAAGUGUUAAAACUAAGUUAUCUGGCAUCAAACUAAAUAUCAGUCAGACUGAGCUUGGUUCUUCAUUCAAGAAUUUGCCUAGUCAUACGUACUGUAGUAGAGUAGUAGUAUUGUGCAAAUCUAUCACUUGUGUGGGUACUUACUAAUGAGAGUAAGUUGUCAUUGAAAUGUGAACAUGUGCUCUAUUUCUGUGCAAAUUCUUUCUGAUAUCCUGAACAAAUGGAUCUUCUCUAGUCAUAGAAUCAGAGAAAGGUGUGGGCUUUGUCCAGCUUUUAGAGUGUGUUGGUAUUGUCACAAAUCUGAGCGGCAUCCCCUAAAUCACUUGACGGGCAGCCAGCGGGAGCUCCUUGUUGAAAUUUGAGGUUGUGUAUCCAGUGUGUAUGUUAGAGACACAGUCUUGCUGUAGUUGUGAGUUUGGAUGUUUGUCUCACUGUGAUGAUUCCCUACAAAAAUAUUGAACCUAUUCAGUUACAGGUUUAUCAACCAAAUACCUCACUGACAAGAAAAAUAAAAUUAACAAAAACCUGUUUCUCAUAAAAGGUGUUAAUUAGUGGUAAUUAGAUUUCAAACCUUUAAAUUCUGCAGCAUGGCUUGGAUAUUGGAAAAUUGGUUUGUAUUUAUAUCUGAUUCAUUGUAGUUUCCCUUCUGUAUAGUGACAGAUCUUUUCAAAAUAUAUUGACAUAUAUAGCUACCUAAAGCUAGGCUAGGUCAGCUGUCUUUAGUUUGUUAAUUAUUUCUAGUAAUGUUUGGCCUUUUCAGUUGCUGGUGUGUUGGAAAAUCCUUUCUUACACAAUACACCACCUUUUCAAAUAGGAAGUGGAAAUUUUAGUUGGAAGCUUCUGAUGCCUUUUCUGCAUCAUUAUUAAUAGGCUUAACAUCUUAGUUCACGAAGUAGCGGUAAAAUACUGCAAUUAUUUUAUUUUUAAAUUCUAAAUCUUCUCCAUGGAUUGUUGCAUUACUUCAUUAUCUUCUCAUACCAGGUUUUACCCUUCCCAGCACACACUUCAUGAAUGUUUACCUAGUUGCACUUCUUGGCAUUCCUGAUUUUCAAAUCUAAUUACUUUCCUCAGUGCCGACUGCAGGUACAUUCCUCCCUGGAUGCAGACUUACACUGUUUUGAUUUAGCAUAUGAAGAACUGGUCUCACUUUUCCAUCAUUUUCCUUACAUUUCAGUUGCUUAUCUUCAGUCUCCCUCAGCUUUGUGAUUAAGGGCUGACCCAAGUACUGUCCAGGCCCCUGCUUGUCUUCUUUGAUGCAGGUAAUGACUGCUGCUGUCAGAGGCACAGGCAGGCAGCCCUUCCUGUCAGAGCUCAGGCACGUCCUAGACACUCCAUGCCAGUAUCCAUGAAGUACCUGGAUUCUGAAGAUAAUUCUGAGAGUGCUAGCAUCUGUACCAAUAGGACAGUGUGUCUCAUAAAGGCAGGGAUUUUGCUUUCCUUCAAAAAACAGAAUCACAGAAUAAUUUUUAGAAAUUAUUUGAUUUAUAUAGAAUUAUUUCAUAGACCUGACCUAAGAUCAUCAAGUCCAACCACUGCCAAGUCUGCCACUAAAUCAUGUUCUUGAGUGCCACAUUUACACAUAUUUUAAAUACCUCCAGGGAUGGUGACUCAACCACUUCAUGAGCAGUCUGUUUUAAGCUUGACAGCCCUUUUGUUGAAUAUUUUUUUCCUAAAAUAAAAAGGCUGUUGUUAACCCAUGUUAUAAAUAGCUGAAAAGGAAUUAGUGCAUGGGGAAGAGAGAAUACCACUUCAGUCUUGAGCAACUUCCAGCCUUUUUUACCACCUCCCAGGCUGGUGCCAGUAACCAAGUAUUUGCUUAACUUGUUUCUGGAAUGUCAGUAAGACAUAGGAGACUGAACAUAUAAGUAAAAUAAUAUGUAAGAGUAAAAGAGUGAAUGCCAGGGGGCAUCUUUCUUACAUUGUCUGGCAAUCUGGCAUUUACCAAAAAGAGGAGCCCUAGGCUCCAGUAACAGUUAAGCACAAAAUCCUAUGGUGCUGCAAAAUCUUGUGGUACCUGUCAAAAGUGAUCAGGGAUUGAAUGUAACAGAUGAUACAAUGGUAUUCUAGGAUAUAAAUUAUCAUUUCCCUUUGUUUUCUUGCAGUGCCAGCAGGUAGGAAAGCAGCACUUCAGCACUUUUUUGGAGCUGUCUUCCUGCUCUUCCCAGAUAAUUACUAUUAGCAAUUCAUUGGAAUUUAGCAUUAGGUAAGAAAAUGGCUUGGGGCAUUAGCUAUUAGAUCAGCCAUAGGUAUGCUUUUAUCAUAAAUACUGAUUGAUUUUUUUUUUUUUUAAGCUCUUCUUAAUAUAAAGAGUGAAGAGCAGCAGGGGCUAUAUCCUAACAUUUUCUGUUAACUUUCUGUGAGACAAAGGAAAAUUGCUCUGUGUGUGUAAGCAAAUUCUUGUAGUACUGCAGGAUGCUAGCUGCUCUGUUUCAUUUUCUUUAAUAAAAAUCUGUAUGCUGUAUUUCUGCAGUAGGUUUUCUCUUUUAAAUUUGUUUCUGCUACUUGACAUAGAUGCAUUUGGUACAUUAUUAAAAUUACAAAGUCUUUAUUAUUUUAAGGAAUUGCACUAUAAUUACUUUAUUUCAAAAUACAUGAACUUUCAAUUUACAAUUAAAGAAAAUAUUGAAUAUUUGCUAUAUAUUGCCUUGUUAGAAAGCAUGUAUUUCACUGUUGAUUUUAUUAAAUUGAAACACAGGAUACAUACUAGAAUCAUAGUAAAGUUACCUGUGAUGGUAGCAUAUGUUUAUAAAGCACCAUAGAAUGUUGUUACAAAUCUUUACUACAUUUUCAGUUGACUGCAAUAAAUGAUGUCA